UACGAAGGGGGCUAGCGUUGUUCGGAAUUACUGGGCCUAAAGCGCACGUAGGCCGUCUACUAAGUCCAAUGUGAAAUCCCCCGGCUCAACCGGGGAACUGCAUCGGAUACUGGUGGACUCGAGAGUUGUAGGGGUGGACGGAACUCCAGGUGGAGCGGUGAAAUGCGUAGAUAUCUGGAGGAACACCGGAGGCGAAAGCGGUCCACUGGGCAACUUCUGACGCUGAGGUGCGAAAGCUAGGGUAGCAAACGGG
rnacentral:rRNA from 1 species